rnacentral:rRNA from 1 species
AUUGAACGCUGGCGGCAGGCUUAACACAUGCAAGUCGAACGAGUGGCGGACGGGUGAGUAAUGCUUGGGAAUCUAGCUUAUGGAUGGGGAUAACUACGGGAAACUGUAGCUAAUACCGCGUACCAUAGGAUGAGCCCAAGUGGGAUUCGGUUGUUGGUGGGGUAAAGGCUCACCACGCCGACGAUCUCUAGCUGGUCUGAGAGGAUGACCAGGAAAACUGGGACUGAGAGACGGCCGAGAGUCCUACGGGAGGCAGCAGUGGGGAAUAUUGCGCAAGGGGGGCAAGAUGACGCAGCCAUGCCGCGUGAAUGAAGAAGGGAUGAGGGUUGUAAAGUUCUUUCGGUAGGGAGGCGUUAACUAGAGAAGAAGCACCGGCUAACUCCGUGCCAGCAGCCGCGGUAAUUC